UACGAAGGGUGCAAGCGUUACUCGGAAUUACUGGGCGUAAAGCGUGCGUAGGUGGUGAGUUAAGUCUGUCGUGAAAGCCCCGGGCUCAACCUGGGAACUGCAUUUGAGACUGCUCUGCUCGGGUGCGGAAGAGGGAAGCGGAAUUUCCGGUGUAGCGGUGAAAUACGUAGAUAUCGGAAGGAACACCAGUGGCGAAAGCGGCUUCCUGGUCCGACACCGACGUUCAGGCACGAAAGCGUGGGGAGCAAACAGG
rnacentral:rRNA from 1 species